AUUUUUUUUUUUUUUUCGUACAAAUUUUUUGCUAUUGAAGUCUGAAGAACCAUGUCAAUACUACAAAAUUAAGAAAAAGCAUAGGGCAACAGCUAGUAGGAGGUAUAUUGAUAUACAAAAAUUGUAAUUUACGUUCCAACAGGCACUACAUUGGCAUUAGCUGACAACAAAGUGUGCAGGAAAAAAAGAAAUGAUAUUCAAAGAUGAAAAAGAGUAAACGAAAUUUUUUUUUCUUUUUCUUUUUGAUAUCUACUAUAAAGUAGCAUCAUCUCGGACCAGACAAUUCUACGGCAUGGAGGUUCUCAGUCGAGUCAAGGAUCCAUUCGGAGCUCCGGGAUGGGGCUAAAUCAACCUGUUGUCGGACCACUUCUACCUUUUGCCACUCCUCCCAUUUUUCUGCUAGUCCAUCACCUUCAAGCAUUCUCACAACCUCCGACAUCUUAGGCCGCUCCAUCGGGGAGCUUUGGGUGCAUAGCAAUGCUACUUGUAUUAGCUGCUCUACCUCAGUGUCAACAUAAUUUUUCUGCAGGUCUGGAUCAACCAGCAUCUCCAACUUCUUCUCUUUCAGAAGGGCUUUAACCCAAUCAAGCAGCAUAACAUCAUCAUCAUUUGCAAGCCUUGCAAGAUCAAAAGCUCUCUGCCCUGUGAUCAGCUCUAAAAGCAUGAUGCCAUAACCAAAAACAUCAGUCUUCUCUGAUGACUUUCCAGUAGAGAGAUACUCUGGAGCAAUAUGUCCGAUGGUCCCACGUACAGCAGUUGUAACAUGGGUAUCUUUGUAGUCCAUUAGUUUAGCCAACCCAAAAUCACCAACAACAGCCUCAAACUCCUCAUCCAACAAUAUAUUUGCAGCUUUUACAUCACGGUGAAUAAUCUUUGGAUCACAAUGAUCAUGUAAAUAAGAAAGCCCUCUUGCAGACCCCAAUGCAAUUCUCUUCCUUGUCGGCCAAUCAAGAGGGGCUUCUAAUGGCGGGCGUUCUCUGAGACAUGAUGCGACACUGCCAUUAGCCAUGUAUGGAUAAACAAGCAGCCGUUCAGUAGGCGUCAUGCAAAAACCACGCAGUCGGAGGAGAUUUCGAUGCACAGCCAUGCUGAUCAUUUCCACUUCUGUUUGAAACUGCAAUUCCCCACCUGGAGUCCGCUCCUCUUUAAGUCUUUUUACAGCCACCAAAGUGCCAUCAGCCAAGCGCCCCUUAUACACCUUACCAAAUCCACCCCUGCCCAGAAUGUUCUUGUUGCUAAAACUAUCAGUUGCCACCUGCAGUUCUCGCAAAGAAAACCUUUUAAGCUGUCCCAAGUGAACGUCAGGGUCCUCCUCACCAGGUACAUCAAAGAAAAGCUCUGGUAGCUUCCUUCGCUUCCAGUACGCAAACCAAAUAGCAGGAGCAGCAAACAAUAAAGCAGCACCAACAGCCACUCCCCCAGCAAUCGCUCCAGUGGGGCUACUUUCUCCAGGAUAAGGAGCUGUAUAUGUUGGAACAAAUGGAGGUGGCGGAGAAAAUGGUGGAGAUCCAGGGCAAGGCUUUCCAGUAACCGGCCCACAUAGAUCCAAGUUAUUUGCAAAGCUGAUGGGUGUAAAUAGUGAAAAAGAUCCGUUAUCUGGUACAGGUCCUGAUAGACGAUUGUUUGACAAGUCCAAGACUUGCAGUGUAGUGAUAUUAAUCAAGGACAAAGGUAUUGAACCUGACAGGCUAUUGUUGUUGAGUCGAAGGAAACGCAGUUUCGUCAGUUUGCCCAAUGUGUCCGGAAUAGGACCAGUGAAACCAUUCAUGUAAAGAUCCAAGCUCACCAAGUUUGUUAGAUUCCCAAGAUCACUAGGAAUUGGUCCACUUAUAUUGUUGCCAUAGAGUUCCAAGUACUGUAAAUUCUUAAGCUGGCCAAGCUGUGGGACCAAUUGGCCAGAUAGUGCUGCAUUUCCAAGGUCAACUCUAAUAACACUAUUUUCAUAGUUACAUGUAACAUGAAACCAUGUACAGGGAUUAACAAGGGUAGGAUCCCAGCUCUGCAGGACAUUGUUAGGAUCUUGUAAAUUUGUCCGGAGGUUAUGCAAAGCAUCACCUUCCAUAUUUGCAGAGAUCCUUGAAAAAGGAGGCACCACCAGGAUCAUCCACACCAGAACCCAAACACCAGUGUUUGUGUCCAUCAAUCUUGACAAAUCUAUCACCCAUACAAAUCCACAUCACCAGGAACAACCCAAACUUGGUAACUCAUUUAAGCCAAAAAAAAAAAACUCGGAUUACACUCGUAAUACACCCAAGAAAGCCAUAAUUAACAGAUGGGGAAAAAAACCAAA
rnacentral:misc_RNA from 1 species